rnacentral:rRNA from 1 species
CUUACACUUUCAUUUAUAGACCAAAUAAUGUUUAAUAUUUAAUUUAUAAUUAUAAUAUUAAAUCUUAAUCUAACCUAUGGCAUUCAUCAUUUACUGCAAAGACUACUUGGGUAUCUAAUCCUGGUUUGUGCUCUGUGCCUUCGUCCUUUAACGUCAGUUUUUACAUAGAAGGCUGCCUUCGCCUUUACCGAGUCCCUUUGGUAUCAUAGAAUUUCAUCUCUCCUCCUCAAGUACUGCCCUCUUACAUAAAACUCUAGUCAAGUACUAACAUUCUAGAAGCUAUAUUGACCGCCUAGGUACCCUUUAAACCUAAUUAAGAUGAAUAACACUAGUCUCUUACGUAUUACCGCGACUGCUGGCACGCAAUUAGUCAAGACACGAUAUAUAUACKGUCAUUAUCAAUAUAUA